rnacentral:lncRNA from 1 species
GUGUUAACCUUACCUGCGAGGCUGGGGCUGCAGCUCGCUCGUCGUGUUCUGCUGUUUCCUUGUGUGAAAUGUCAGUAGCAGCGGCCGGGAUGUUCUGAGGAAAUCAGACCACAGAGGAGGUAGCAUUUGUAGUGAGGGUCUGUUCCCCGUGGGACCGUGGUCAGCUUGUGUUGCGGAAGAGAAAAGAAGUGCUGGCGAGGCUGCGGGGGAGAGGAACCUGUUUGUGUUGUUGGUACUGAAACUAGAGCCGCUACGGAAAUCAGUGUGGAGAUCCCCAAACAACCAAAAGUAG